GAUGAACGCUAGCGGCAGGCCUAACACAUGCAAGUCGAGGGGCAGCACAGUCUAGUUUACUAGACGGGUGGCGACCGGCGCACGGGUGCGUAACGCGUAUGUAACCUACCAUUGACAGGGGGAUAGUCAGAGGAAACUUUGAAUAAUACCGCAUAACAUAUAAAAGAGGCAUCUUUUUUAUAUCAAAAUUUCGAUGGUCAAUGAUGGGCAUGCGUUUGAUUAGAUAGUUGGUGAGGUAACGGCUCACCAAGUCAACGAUCAGUAGCCGGACUGAGAGGUUGAACGGCCACAUUGGAACUGAGAAACGGUCCAGACUCCCACGGGAGGCAGCAGUGGGGAAUAUUGGGCAAUGGGCGAAAGCCUGACCCAGCGACGCCGCGUGAGGGAAGACGGUCUUCGGAUUGUAAACCUCUUUAUAAGGACGAAUUAUGACGGUACCUUAUGAAUAAGCCACGGCUAACUACGUG
rnacentral:rRNA from 1 species